UGUUAAAAAUUUUAUCUAUUUCUAUUGUUAAAAACUAGCGCAGCUAACAAAAUAACCAUACAAUUAUACAUUGACAUACCAUGUGUAUCUCGUGCUAACGUGUAGAGACCAAGUUUUUAUUUAACAAUAAAAAUGGAAGAAAUUUUUAAUA
rfam:Gossypium hirsutum cultivar TM-1 chromosome 26, whole genome shotgun sequence